rnacentral:lncRNA from 10 species
AAGGGAUGAGACAUCCUUGGCAGGGAGUGGGCCCUGAGUGGUGGCCCUGAGCCUGUGUCCACCCAGCUGUCAUGGGGAUGGGCAGCCAGCCAGGCCCUGGCCUGGGGCUUACCCGGCGGUACUUCUCGCUGGUCUCCUUCGUGUGGAUCUUGUCGAUCAGCUUCUUCUGCUGGUUGAGCCGGUUCUCCCUUGCCCGGCGCUCCUCGAUGAAGGACGCCUCCCUUUGCCUCAUGUUCCUCUGGGGACAUGCGGGUGGGCACAGGGUUGGGGAGCUGUCUCAACAAGGCCCCUAAUGGCAGUAAAGCCAGCGGGCGGUUGGCCAUGCUCACCUUACUAGACUUUGGAACUGCAUCCCCGGCCAAUGGCCACACCCUUUUCCUAAACCACUUGUGCCCGUGGCCCCUCAGCUCACGGCCCUCCUUGCCCAUGCCUCAGAGCAUGUGCCAGCCCAGACGCUCUGCUGCCCUCCAGCCGCUGGCCCCCAGCUGCCUCCUGGCCAGGUCCACCUAGAACUCACGGAAGUGCAUUCAGCCUGCCUGAAGACAGAUUCAUCCUCUUCCCCAAAACCUGGCCUCUUCCAGCGUGCCCUUGGGCAGCUAAAACCGUCAUCUGCUAACCCCUGCUCACGCACCCCAGACACUGCUCUCACCCUCGCCACUCUCGUUGCCAGCGCUUAGUGGGGUUGCCUCUUGAGGAGUUCUCAGCUCCGUUGCUCCUGGCCACCCCUUCUCCACCCCGGGUAUACCCAGGUGAUCAGCGCUUCUGCCCUGGCACCUUCCAGUCCCUGCAGCCUGAGUACACCCUUUCUGAAGCACAGACCUGGUCACAUCUUUCCUCCACCUCCUCCCAGGGCUCCAGGUCAGUCCUUGGGCCCCCAGCCCAGCCGCCUCCGUGGACUCCUGGGGCCUGUGCCUCUGCAGCCUCCACUGCCCUGGCCACACGCUGCUCCAUGUAUCACACCCCUCCCAGCCCAGGGCCUUUUCCCAAGUUGUACCUCCUCCUCCCUAGCCCUGGCCACACCUGACCUUUGCGGGUUCAAUCCCUCAGCCCAGCUCAAGCACUGUCUUCCUGGAAAGCCAUCUGCCACCCCACCUGUCUCUGCUGAGCUGGCUCAGGGGCUGUGUGGCAUUUCUUCAUGGACUACUGGAUGAGUGCCACCCACUUCAGGAGGACAGGGUCUGCCUGUCCCGGUCCCUGCUGUAUCCCCAGAGCCUUGCAGGGACCUUGGCACAGACUGGGUGAAUAGGUGACCCCCGCCCUGGCCCGGCCAGUUCUCUCCCUCUCCUCUACUUCAUGGCUCCUGUGCUGGAUGGGACCUGCUCUGUCCAGUGGGUGAGCAGAGCAGGCUGGCCGGGCUGGCCACUGGAUCCUUCUGGGGAUUGUAGGCAGUGUGGGCAUGGGGGUCUCCUGAGAGACCCUGGCCAGAAGACACAAGAGAGCCCGCCCUGGGGGGCCCCAGCCCUGGGCCCUGAGCUCACCUUGACCCCAUCCGAAGAUCCAAGAGGGCUGGCCCUGGGGGGCCCCCAGCCCUGGGCCCUGAGCUCACCUUGACCCCAUCCGAAGAUCCAAGAGGGCUGGCCCUGGGGGGCCCCAGCCCUGGGCCCUGAGCUCACCUUGACCCCAUCCGAAGAUCCAAGAGGGCUGGCCCUGGGGGGCCCCCGGCCCUGGGCCCUGAGCUCACCUUGACCCCAUCCGAAGAUCCAAGAGGGCUGGCCCUGGGGGGCCCCCAGCCCUGGGCCCUGAGCUCACCUUGACCCCAUCCGAAGAUCCAAGAGGGCUGGCCCUGGGGGGCCCCCGGCCCUGGGCCCUGAGCUCACCUUGACCCCAUCCGAAGAUCCAAGAGGGCUGGCCCUGGGGGGCCCCCAGCCCUGGGCCCUGAGCUCACCUUGACCCCAUCCGAAGAUCCAAGAGGGCUGGCCCUGGGGGGCCCCCAGCCCUGGGCCCUGAGCUCACCUUGACCUCAUCCGUGAUCAUCAUGGCAUCUUGGGACAUGAUCUUCAUAUCCGACAGCUCUGAGCAGUAGUUGACCACGAGGUUCUGCAGCUUGUCCAGCUCAAUGGGGUAUCCUGCCAGCACCUGUGUUGAAUGGGGUUCUCUUGUGGCCCCUACAGAGUGGGCUGCAGUUGCCCCGAGCUUUUAUCCCCCGACUAAGAGCCCUGAGAACAGUGAUAGGUUCUCCUCUGUGGCCCCAGCCACCUCCCCCACUCCCCGCUGGGCACAACGGUGAUGAAAGGUGUUUCACAGGGAGUGGACAGUGCUGGCCUGGUGGACUCUUUCACCACCUAGGGUCCAACAACCCAGAGAGACUGAGAGAGUUUGUGAUGAAAUGCUCUGCAGAAAAGGCUGACUGAAACCCGGGGAGGUUUGGGGACAGUUCUGCUUUGAAGUGAAACAGAGGGGCUCAAGACAUGGGCUUGGGGUCAGAGAGUCAGGAUUCAAGGCCAAGGCAGCUUCUGACCAGCUAGUUUAGCUGUGUGACAUUGGGAAAGUUACUUAAUCUCUCUGUGUCCCCAUUUGUAAGAUGAUGGCUCGUUCAGAAGGUUGCCAUCAGGAUGAAUUGAGUGUAAAAGGAAUUAUUUAGCCCAGAACCAGGUACAUACGUGCUCAGGAUAGCUUUGCUAUAGUGGUUUGUUUUUUGUAACUACAAGUAUAGGCCAGGUGCGGUGGCUCACGCCUGUAAUCCCAACACUGGGAGGCCGGAGGCAGGCAGAUCAUGAGGUCAGGAGUUAGAGACCAGCCUGGCCAACAUAGUGAAACCCUGUCUCUACUAAAAAUACAAAAAAAAUCAGCCGGGCGUGGUAGUGGGCGCCUGUAAUUCUAGCUAUUCGGGAGGCUGAGGCAGGAGAAUCGCUUGAACCCGGGAGGCGGAGGUUGCAGUGAGCCGAGAUCUCACCACUGCACACCAGCUGGGGCAACAGUGUGAAACUCCAUCUCAAAAAACAAAACAAACAAAAACAAAACUAGAAGUGUAGAAUCUUCAUUUUUAAAAAUAUGGAUGACUAUGGGAAUUAUUGCUUGUUUUUUCCUUUGUUCUGAGACUGAAUCUCACUCUAUCACCCAGGCUGGAGUGCGAUGGUACGAUCUCGGCUUGCAGCAACCUCUGCCUUCUGGGUUCAGGUGAUUCUCGUGCCUCAGCCUCCCGAGUAGCUGGGAUUACAGGCAUGCACCACCAUGCCAGGCUACUUUUUGUAUUUUUAGUAGAGAUGAAGUUUCACCAUGUUGGCCAGGCUGGUCUAGAACUCCUGACCUCAAGUGAUCCGCCUGCCUUGGCCUCCCAAAGUGCUGGGAUUACAGGCAUGAGCCACCAUGCCCAGGCCGGGAAUAAUUGUUUUUUAAGUGUGUAUGUUCUAAACAGAAGAAGGCGCUACCAGAGGAACAGAAAGCACCCAGGCGAAGGAGGGGCAUGGACAGGGGUGGGGAGAGGGGUGGGCCCAGGAAGCAUAGAGGGGCAGGGCUUCCAGGUGAGCCAAUAGGACCAGGGGCCAAGGCAAGAGGGACAAGCAGAGGACGGUGCUGAGAGCCACCUGGGCUGGGACCACAGCAGGAAAAGAGCUGCGAUGCAGCCUCCGUCCACCACUCCUCCUAAACUGCACUUCCAUGCUGUCACCUUCCCGAAGCAUGGCUCUCCAGAGCUCCCCUUUGCCCAGUCUUAGGGUGAGGGUGUUUCCAGCUGGCUCCCCGCCCCAUCCACAGGUUGCUCCUCUUAGCACCUCCUGUGCUCUCCCUAUCUACAGCCCAUCUGGAGUAGGUUCUGCUUUGUGGCAGCCCGAGGGGCGGUGCUCAGCCUCCCAUGAAGGGGGUCUUCCCUCACAAUCGGACUGCUGGCUGCCUUUGGCCUCGUCUGCAGGGAGCAGGGCGGGUGGGCUGGCUGGGACGGCAGCAAGCCCUGCUUACAGGCCCAGCGGACCCUCAAAGGUGCAAGGACUUUCUGAGGGUGCAGGACCUGUCUGACUCUCAGAGGCCCAGGCAAUGAGAAAAUGACAGGCAAGAUACAAACAAUACCAAAUCAUUUAAUACGUGCAAGAAAGUCCGAAGAAUUCUGAUAUACCCCACGAUAUGCUUUUUUGGAAUAGCCAAAAAUGAAGUUUAAAAAAACGUUUUCCACAUGCCUCGGCGUCCUGCGUAGCCGGUGGUCAGGCAGAGCUCCCUCUCCCUGGCGGGUGCGGGGCGGCUCCGCCCCAGGACGCUCCCGCCCCUCCCAGAUCCCAGCCCCUGACCCCCGCCCUUCCCGGGCCGCUGGGCUCACUGUCUUCAGAUAAUCCAG